GGCGAUCAGAUACCGCCCUAGUUCUGACCGUAAACGAUGCCAACUAGCGAUCCGCCAGUCGACUCAUCGCUCUGGUGGGGAGCUUCCCGGAAACGAAAGUCUUCCGGUUCCGGGGGAAGUAUGGUUGCAAAGCUGAAACUUAAAGGAAUUGACGGAAGGGCACCACCAGGAGUGGAGCCUGCGGCUUAAUUUGACUCAACACGGGGAAACUCACCCGGCCCGGACACCGUAAGGAUUGACAGAUUGAUAGCUUUUUCAUGAUUCGGUGGAUGGUGGUGCAUGGCCGUUCUUAGUUCGUGGAGCGAUUUGUCUGGUUUAUUCCGAUAACGAGCGAGACCCUGGCCUACUAAAUAGUUGACGCAUUGCCACUGUGCGCACAACUUCUUAGAGGGAUUUUCGGUGUUUUCAACCGCACGAAAUUGAGCAAUAACAGGUCUGUGAUGCCCUUAGAUGUCCGGGGCUGCACGCGCGCUACACUGGCAAACGCAACGUGCCUGUCCUGCCCCGAAAGGAGCGGGUAAACCCCUGAAAUUUUGCCGUGAUUGGGAUCGGACAUUGCAACUAUUGUCCGUGAACGAGGAAUUCCUUGUAGGGGCGAGUCAUCAACUCGUCCCGAAUACGUCCCUGCCCUUUGUA
rnacentral:rRNA from 1 species